ensembl:lncRNA
CUACUGAUACCUCCCCAGUCUCUAGGUCCUUGACACAGGGACAGCGGUGGGGAGCCAUGUAGACACAAAGAGAGAAAUACAGCAGGCUGUCUUGGCAAGACAGCGGCAAUAGAGAAAUGAGGACAAGAGCUGAAAAACACAUAAGUUGAGCACACAUCUUUACAAUUCUUUGACAAACACUACAGGUUGCACGUGUGUACAUGUGUGUGCAUAAUGUGUGUGUAUGUGUACGUGCACCCCUUUCUGCUAGGUAGGGUGGGUGGUGGCAGGGCAUUGGAGCAUUGUGCUGUAAGUACUGCAUGUGACAGAGUUGUGCUAAAAGGCUAGAGAGAGAGAGAGAGAGAGAGAGAGAGAGAGAGCGAGAGAGAGAGACGUGUACUAUGUAAACAAGCUGUCAAAAUAGAAAGUGCAGGGACAUUUUUAAACCCUUUGGAGGAUGGAAAAGGUGAGAAAUCACACAGAACGCACAGAGCCGCACUCAAAGUGGUCGAGUAGG